UGCAAGUCGAGCGAACUGAUUAGAAGCUUGCUUCUAUGACGUUAGCGGCGGACGGGUGAGUAACACGUGGGCAACCUGCCUGUAAGACUGGGAUAACUUCGGGAAACCGAAGCUAAUACCGGAUAGGAUCUUCUCCUUCAUGGGAGAUGAUUGAAAGAUGGUUUCGGCUAUCACUUACAGAUGGGCCCGCGGUGCAUUAGCUAGUUGGUGAGGUAACGGCUCACCAAGGCAACGAUGCAUAGCCGACCUGAGAGGGUGAUCGGCCACACUGGGACUGAGACACGGCCCAGACUCCUACGGGAGGCAGCAGUAGGGAAUCUUCCGCAAUGGACGAAAGUCUGACGGAGCAACGCCGCGUGAGUGAUGAAGGCUUUCGGGUCGUAAAACUCUGUUGUUAGGGAAGAACAAGUACAAGAGUAACUGCUUGUACCUUGACGGUACCUAACCAGAAAGCCACGGCUAACUACGUGCCAGCAGCCGCGGUAAUACGUAGGUGGCAAGCGUUAUCCGGAAUUAUUGGGCGUAAAGCGCGCGCAGGCGGUUUCUUAAGUCUGAUGUGAAAGCCCACGGCUCAACCGUGGAGGGUCAUUGGAAACUGGGGAACUUGAGUGCAGAAGAGAAAAGCGGAAUUCCACGUGUAGCGGUGAAAUGCGUAGAGAUGUGGAGGAACACCAGUGGCGAAGGCGGCUUUUUGGUCUGUAACUGACGCUGAGGCGCGAAAGCGUGGGGGAGCAAACAGGAUUA
rnacentral:rRNA from 1 species